rnacentral:rRNA from 1 species
CCUACGGGAGGCAGCAGUGAGGAAUAUUGGUCAAUGGGCGCGAGCCUGAACCAGCCAAGUAGCGUGAAGGAUGACUGCCCUACGGGUUGUAAACUUCUUUUAUAAAGGAAUAAAGUGAGGCACGUGUGCCUUUUUGUAUGUACUUUAUGAAUAAGGAUCGGCUAACUCCGUGCCAGCAGCCGCGGUAAUACGGAGGAUCCGAGUGUUAUCCGGAUUUAUUGGGUUUAAAGGGAGCGUAGAUGGGUUGUUAAGUCAGUUGUGAAAGGUUGCGGCUCAACCGUAAAAUUGCAAUUGAUACUGGCAAUCUGGAGUACAGGUGAGGUAAGCGGAAUUCGUGGUGUAGCGGUGAAAUGCUUAGAUAUGACGAAGAACUUCGAUUGCGAAGGCCGCUUACUAAACUGCCACUGACAUUGAUGCUCGAAAGUGUGGGGAUCAAACAGGAUUAGAUACCCCAGUAGUC